rnacentral:RNase_P_RNA from 1 species
AGCGGGCCAGACGGCCGCGUGCCUGCGGGCGCGAGGAAAGUCCGGGCUCCAAAGGGCAGGAUGCCAGCUAACGGCUGGGCGGGGCGAUCCGACGGAAAGUGCCGCAGAAAAGAAGACUCCCCUGCCGCUUCGGCGGCGGGAGAAAAGCUGAAACGGUGCGGUAAGAGCGCACCAGCGCGUCGGCAACGGCGUGGCUUGGCAAACCCCAUCCGGAGCAAGCGCAAAUAGGAACGCGAUACGGCCGCCCUUCCGUGCGUUCGGGUUGCGUGCUAGAGACGCCUGGCGACAGGCGUUCGAGAUAAAUGGCCGUCCAUCGACAGAACCCGGCUUAUCGGCCCGCUCGC